AGCGAACGCUGGCGGCAGGCCUAACACAUGCAAGUCGAGCGGCCGUAGCAAUACGGCAGCGGCAGACGGGAGAGUAACUCGUGGGAACGCGCCCUUCGGUUCGGGAUAACUCAGGGAAACUUGGGCUAAUACCGGAUACGCCCUUACGGGGAAAGAUCUAUUGCCGAAGGAACGGCCCGCGUCCGAUUAGCUAGUUGGUGAGGUAACGGCUCACCAAGGCGACGAUCGGUAGCUGGUCUGAGAGGAUGACCAGCCUCACUGGGACUGAGACACGGCCCAGACUCCUACGGGAGGCAGCAGUGGGGAAUAUUGGACAAUGGGCGCAAGCCUGAUCCAGCCAUGCCGCGUGGGUGAUGAAGGCCCUAGGGUUGUAAAGCCCUUUCAGCGGGGAAGAUAAUGACGGUACCCGCAGAAGAAGCCCCGGCUAACUUCGUGCCAGCCGCCGCCGUAA
rnacentral:rRNA from 1 species